rnacentral:lncRNA from 1 species
CAGGCUCUUUUCGAUUGUCACGGUUAUUCCUCGGGCGUUUAUCAUGACUGAUGUAAUUCCUUAAGAGUCCUCUUUUAAUCAGGGCUUCAAUUCCCUGCUGCAAGGCUUGACAAUCCUCCGUUGUAUGCCCAUGAUCCCGGUGAAAUUCACAAUACUUGCUCCUAUCUUUUGUGUCAGGGGGCGACUUCAUUCUUGAAUGCCACUUCAAUUCUUUCAUAUCUUUGAUCUCCAUUAAGAUAUUUGCCUUGGAGGUGUUUAAUCGGGCGAGAGGCCCUGGUGGACCUUCAUUCUUGCGCUUUUCCCGCGAAUACUCUGGUCGGGAAACGGGAUCAUGUGGCUUCUUGUUCUCGGCCUUUUCAUGGGAAGGACCAGAUCUCUUUAGAUUCAGUGUUUCCUCCAUAUUAAUGUAUUUUUUGGCUCGGGUGAGGAGCUCAAUCACUGUCUGCGGCGGGGUCUUCGAUAAGGACAUCUUGAAAGCUUCACAUCUUAUGGCGUAAGUGAGGGCGGAGACAGUCGCUGUGAUGUGAAGGUCGGGUAUUUGAAGCCUUUCUUUGUUAAACCUCAUCAUAAAUCCUUGUAGGGUUUUAUUUGGUCCUUGGCGAAGUUGCAUGAGAGAGGCCGCAGUCUUUCUGAUUCACUUGCUACUUGCAAAGAAGGCUGAGAACUUAUCAGCCAAAUAUGAGAAUGAGGCUAUGGAGUUG